UAGGGAAUCUUCCGCAAUGGGCGAAAGCCUGAUGGAGCAACGCCGCGUGUGUGAUGAAGGCUUUAGGGUCGUAAAGCACUGUUGUAUGGGAAGAAAUGCUAGAAUAGGGAAUGAUUCUAGUUCGACGGUACCAUACCAGAAAGGGACGGCUAAAUACGUGCCAGCAGCCGCGGUAAUACGUAUGUCCCGAGCGUUAUCCGGAUUUAUUGGGCGUAAAGCGAGCGCGGACGGUUGAUUAAGUCUGAUGUGAAAGCCCGGAGCUCAACUCCGGAAUGGCAUUGGAAACUGGUUAACUUGAGUGUUGUAGAGGUAAGUGGAACUCCAUGUGUAGCGGUGGAAUGCGUAGAUAUAUGGAAGAACACCAGUGGCGAAGGCGGCUUACUGGACAACAACUGACGUUGAGGCUCGAAAGUGUGGGUAGCAAACAGGAUUAGAUACCCUGGUAGUCCACACCGUAAACGAUGAAUACUAGGUGUUAGGAGGUUUCCGCCUCUUAGUGCCGAAGCUAACGCAUUAAGUAUUCCGCCUGGGGAGUACGACCGCAAGGUUG
rnacentral:rRNA from 1 species